rnacentral:rRNA from 1 species
GCUCUCGGGUGACGAGUGGCGGACGGGUGAGUAAUGUCUGGGAAACUGCCUGAUGGAGGGGGAUAACUACUGGAAACGGUAGCUAAUACCGCAUAACGUCGCAAGACCAAAGAGGGGGACCUUCGGGCCUCUUGCCAUCAGAUGUGCCCAGAUGGGAUUAGCUAGUAGGUGGGGUAACGGCUCACCUAGGCGACGAUCCCUAGCUGGUCUGAGAGGAUGACCAGCCACACUGGAACUGAGACACGGUCCAGACUCCUACGGGAGGCAGCAGUGGGGAAUAUUGCACAAUGGGCGCAAGCCUGAUGCAGCCAUGCCGCGUGUAUGAAGAAGGCCUUCGGGUUGUAAAGUACUUUCAGCGGGGAGGAAGGCGAUAAGGUUAAUAACCUUGUCGAUUGACGUUA